CCGGUAUUGUCACUGCCUUUGGGAUGACAAUGAACGACCCUCCCAACCAACCCGAGGGAAAGCCUCAAGGUUUGACUUGAUCCUUGACUAAGCUUGGCCAUAAAAUGGUGCAGAUAGCCUCAAGGUUCAACAAGCCCAGGAUCACAUCUGAAUCACUGACAUCCCCAUUCUGUAGGAAAAGAGCCUUGGGAAAGGAGAACCCAUCAAAGAUCAUCUCGAAAACACUUGCCUUGAUCAGGAUACGCUGAAAAACCACCGAUGAGGAAAAUCACUUCAUCAUCAUCAUCGUGGAAGUUUUAUAACCCUUUUGGGUCUUCAACUUAUAAGCUACAACUUCAUGUCAGAGAUACAUGGAAUACUGUCAGGAACAAACCUGAUGAAAGAACUCUCAUUGCUUACACCAAUGUUCGCGUUGAUACAGAGCUGGACGAUCCCAUCGAUGCUCUUGUUUCAGGCAAAUGUAAUGAAGUGCUGUGCAAACGAUCUGUUAGGCAAACAUUUGUUCCAAAUUGUAGCAUAAUAUUUGUUCCAAAUAGUGAUUUACCGACAUGCUUGAAGAUCACCUGUUUGUAUUUGACAAUGCAAUACUGCACAAAUGUAAUGUGAUGUAAUGCAACGCUACAAUUUGUCAGGCAAAAUGUUUGUUCAAAAUUGUGAUUUAUCAACAUGUUUGAAGAUCACCUGUAUGUAGAUCACCUGUAUGUAUUUGACAAUGCAAUACUGCACAUAAUCUUUCACUGUGGCCCAGUGUGUUUUGCACCCUUGAAACUAAUGUAAUUUAAACUUUUCAAGCCUGAAUGCUCUUGGGAGCGCCCUUCCUGUUCUCAAAUAGUCUGUGAAUCAAAUAACAGCCACUUAAGUACAUGUAUGUUGAUAACUUUAUCAUUUCAUACAGUGUCAUCUUCCUUUGCCCCACAUAGGCAUAUCUUUCAUUAUUUUCAAUUAUUUUUUAUUUUUUAAAGAUUUUUUGGCAUUUUUGUUUUUUCUUCAGUGGUACAUGUUGGUCAUUAUAGCUAGAUUACAGGUAGGUUAGGCCUACAGGGUUACAGCAUUAGUUUAUUUCAUGACUGGCAGUUAGUGCCGUCAUCAGCAGCCACCUAGCGAUAGGAUUGAGACUAGUGAGUGCAGUAGGUGUAGGCGCAACGUAUCUAAGGUUAGGCACUCACUGGUCUUAAUUAUCUCCAGGAAGAUGACACACCUGGGUAACCAUGGCGAAGCUGCAAUACAAUCUUAUCACUGGUUUUAAACUUGACCCCAGUUGUUUGCUAUAAUUGGGAAAAGUUUGUUAUCAGAUUUUAAAACUCAGAGGCUCAUGCCAGUGAGCAUGUUGCGCGUUUUAAUAGUAAUAGUAGCUCGAAUUGGGCACAUGGCUUGAAAGGUUUAAAACAUUGACCUGUGAUAAAAAGGGUGAGUUUCUGGGAAUGGCCUGCAAAGGCAAUUGCAUUUUCUCACCCAUUUUUUCACAAUCAAAUAUUGUUUAUAAAAUGUAAAAUUUAUGAUGUAAAUAAUGAAGUAAAAAUGUAUAACAUAAUAAGAAAGUACUUCUUUGAAGUGGCCAGCCCCCCCCCCCCCCCCCACUAUAAACUCACCCAG